GUUGGAGGGCACACAGUGCCUUCAAGGGGGUCCUGGCCUCGUGCCUUGCAAGGAGGAGACCAUCUCAUCCUUCAGCAAUGCGAAUUGCUUCCGCCCUGGGGGAACCUUCAGUACUACCUCCAGCCCCAGUGCAUGGUUGCAAGUCAAUGCCAAAGUUUUGCAGAAGCUUAUCCAGCAGUCAAUAAGCGCAGAUGUUAAUAAGCUGAAAGACCUGGGAGCGGUAAUUAGCGAGAGGAAGAAGAGGAAAAGAGGGGGCAUGUUUUUCUCUUGCUCCAAGCAGCAGUUGAGAAAGACAAGGUUUUGCACGUGUACAGGUGCCAUUAUGGGGGAAGCCAGGGGGAAACAGCCUGGGGCCAUGCACGUCCUCAUCUUUCCUUCAAAGAGCUUAGCGUGUUUCAUCUGUACUUCAUGCCAUGCGACACCAAAACUCUUCAUUCCUCCUGUAAAAGCCAAUCGCCCCCCAGCAAUCCCCUUGACAGCACUGCAAAUGGCUCAGGAAUAGUUAAUCUCAAACUCAAGGUCAAGAAUGGGAAAGGGGAAGAGAGGGGCAGCAAACAGGAUCUGCCCUGUUUGCUGCCCAGAGCACCAGCUUGGCCCCACUACUGGGCAUAAUGGGGAGACCGGGGCAGCACUGGGGACAGCAGAGGAGGAAAGUAACAUACACAAACAUGGAUCCAUUGGAAAUUGGGCUGCUUAACCCUCCCAACACCAGAACAGCUUCUUUACUUCACAGAUGGGGUUCCCGUGGCUGAUUCCUCUGGGGAAGAUGCUGGAUGCAGCAUGGCGCUGUGGAUCUCAUCCUGGCUCUAUGACAUCCAUAUCCUAUUCCCAGCUUGAGAGCUGCCAGCCCUCCCAGUGUCCGGCACUACAUGUAGCUGAGCGUUCCUCUUCAUCUGGGGCUUUUAGCUGCAAAAGUAAGCCCGUGUGAUGCUUCACUUGAGAAUGAGAAGGGCAUGUGGCAAUGGUUGGUCCGAGGAAAGCCACUCUGGUGGAUGGAUUGAGCAGCUGCAUUUGCAGCGGGAAAACACCAAGGAACCUCUGUGCCAGGGAACGGGGCUGCAGGUCAACAGCAAAGCCCUGCGAGAAGGAUGAGAGAGAGGGAGAAAGGGACAUCUCCAGAGGAGGAGGAGGGGAGUGUGAAGUUCUGAACUCCUUUGGACACGCGAUAAUGAGUUUGUCAAAACCAAUUCCAGCAGAGCUAUGAAAAACGUAUGUCAGCAGGACCGGUGACUGCCAAAUCCCAAACUCUUACUCAUGGCUGCUGCUUGCAUCCAGAACGAACGAUGAAAAUGGCCUUUCUGGCCUUGUUUCGGUUUGCUGCUUAUUGGAACUCAAGCUGGUUAUUCAGUGAACCGGCCCCAGCACCGUGACAGCCAAACAACACGUGCACGCUCACUCAGUAUCGCUCUGGCAGAGGGAAAUUCAGGACGUUUUGAACCAAACGAGGAGGUUUUAUGAAACUUCCAUGUAGCUGAAAGCAAAAGUUGGAAGAUUAUGCAACUCGGUUGGGUUGGCUGCCAUUGCUAUUGAAAAAG
rnacentral:lncRNA from 1 species